UUGCAUGAGGAAGUAUCUGCUCUUCAUUCCUUUGGGGGCAGAAAUACAUCUAUCACAUGCUAAAUUACAAAAGGAGGUCUCAGGGCCGCCAACGUUUCAAUAGAGGUUGAGUGGUAGUAUAUUACUCCUAUAUAA
rnacentral:ncRNA from 8 species